rnacentral:misc_RNA from 1 species
AGCGCCGGCUGCUCGAAGGC